GACGAACGCUGGCGGCGUGCUUAACACAUGCAAGUCGAACGGAAAGGCCCUGCUUUUGUGGGGUGCUCGAGUGGCGAACGGGUGAGUAACACGUGAGUAACCUGCCCUUGACUUUGGGAUAACUUCAGGAAACUGGGGCUACUACCGGAUAGGAGCUCCUGCUGCAUGGUGGGGGUUGGAAAGUUUCGGCGGUUGGGGAUGGACUCGCGGCUUAUCAGCUUGUUGGUGGGGUAGUGGCUUACCAAGGCUUUGACGGGUAGCCGGCCUGAGAGGGUGACCGGCGACAUUGGGACUGAGAUACGGCCCAGACUGCAACGGGAGGCAGCAGGGGGGAAUAUUGCACAAUGGGCGGAAGCCGGAUGAAGAAACGCCGCGUGCGGGAUGACGGCCUUCGGGUUGUAAACAGCAGUCGCCUGUGACGAAGCGGGAGUGACGGUAAUGAGUAAAGAAGCACCGGCUAACUACGUG
rnacentral:rRNA from 1 species